ensembl:lncRNA
GGGGACGUGGGGAGGACGUGGGGAUGUCUGAGAGGGGACGUGGGGAGGACGUGGGGAUGGCUAAGAGGGGAUGUGGGGAGGACGUGGGGAUGUCUGAGAGGGGACGUGGGGAGGACGUGGGGAUUUCUAAGAGGGGACGUGGGGAUGUCUAAGAGGGGACGUGGGGAUGUCUAAAUGGUGACGCGGAGAUGUCUAAGAGGGGACGUGGGGAGGACGUUUGGAUGUCUAAGAGGGGACGUGGGGAGGACGUGGGGAUGUCUAAGAGGGGUCGUGGGGAUGUCUAAGAGGGGUCGUGGGGAUGACGUGGGGAUGUCUAAGAGGGGUCGUGGGGAUGUCUAAGAGGGGUCGUGGGGAUGUCUAAGAGGGGAUGUGGGGAGGACGUGGGGAUGUCUAAGAGGGGACGUGGGGAUGUCUAAGAGGGGACGUGGGGAUGUCUAAGAGGGGACGUGGGGAUGUCUAAAUGGUGACGCGGAGAUGUCUAAGAGGGGACGUGGGGAGGACGUGGGGAUGUCUAAGAGGGGACGUGGGGAGGACGUUUGGAUGUCUAAGAGGGGACGUGGGGAUGUCUAAGAGGGGACGUGGGGACGACGUGGGGAUGUCUAAGAGGGGACGUGGGGAUGUCUAAGAGGGGACGUGGGGAUGUCUAAGAGGGGACAUGGGGAGGACGUGGGGAUGUCUAAGAGGGGACGUGUGGAUGUCUAAGAGGGACGUGGGGAUGUCUAAGAGGGGACGUGGGGAUGGCUAAGAGGGGACGUGGGGAUGGCUAAGAGGGGACGUGGAAACGUCUAAGAGGGGACGUGGGGAUGUCUAAGAGGGGACGUGGGGAUGUCUAAGAGGGGACGUGGGGAGGACGUGGGGAUGUCUAAGAGGGGACGUGGGGAGGACGUGGGGAUGUCUAAGAGGGGUCGUGGGGAAAACGUGGGGAUGUCUAAGAGGGGACGUGGGGAUUUCUAAGAGGGGACGUGGGGAUGUCUAAGAGGGGACGUGGGGAUCUCUAAGAGGGGACGUGGGGAGGACGUGGGGAUGUCUAAGAGGGGACGUGGGGAGGACGUGGGGAUGUCUAAGAGGGGACGUGGGGAGGACGUGGGGAUUUCUAAGAGGGGACGUGGGGAUGUCUAAGAGGGUACGUGGGGAGGACGUGGGGAUGUCUAAGAGGGGACGUGGGGAGGACGUGGGGAUGUCUAAGAGGGGACGUGGGGAUGUCUAAGAGGGUACGUGGGGAUGUCUAAAUGGUGACGCGGAGAUGUCUAAGAGGGGACGUGGGGAGGACGUUUGGAUGUCUAAGAGGGGACGUGGGGAGGACGUUUGGAUGUCUAAGAGGGGACGUGGGG